AAAAAUAUAUUUAUAUUUAAGAAAAUAAGAUUAUGUAUUUUUUUAAUAAAAAAUGAGAAAAAAUAUUUACUUGUCACAUGAGAAAUACGGUUACGCCACCUAAUGGUAGAACUUGUUUCUGGUCUACUUUAGGAUCGGUAGAAAGAAACUGUAUACCGGGAAUUCUGGAAAAUCACGGGGCUUUGCAGACUGGUCCAUAUGUAUGAGUCACUAUACAAAUUUUAACAAGUUUUCCUAUAUUGUGGCCACUAACAAGUACAUAUACUAUCGAUUCUUCUAAUUUUAGGCCAUAAAAUCACUUCUAAUAUAUCACAAUGGAUGAAACGAAUGAACAACAAUACACAGGAGAUGGUUCAGUUGAUCAUAAACAUAGGCCUGCUCUUAAGGCCAAUACUGGCAAAUGGAAAGCUUGUCCAUUUAUUCUAGGCAAUGAAUGUUGUGAACGUUUGGCUUUUUUCGGUAUUGCAACAAACCUUGUUACCUAUCUUACCACCAAACUACACGAAAAUAACACGUCUGCUGCGAGAAAUGUCAGCAUCUGGCAAGGAACUUGUUAUCUUACACCUCUCAUUGCAGCUAUUCUGGCCGAUGGUUACUUGGGAAGAUACUGGACAAUCGCUGUUUUCUCCAUGAUUUACUUUGUUGGGAUGAGUAUUUUGACUCUUUCGGUAUCUGUUCCACCAUUGAAGCCAGCUGAGUGUUUGGGUUCACUAUGUCCUCCGGCGGCUCCUAUGCAAUAUUUUGUGUUCUACUUGGGCCUCUACAUAAUUGCGUUAGGGACUGGUGGUGUAAAAGCGUGUGUGCUAUCUUUUGGGGCAGAUCAGUUUGAUGAUACUGAUUCCAAGGAAAGUGCCAAGAAGGCUUCCUAUUUCAAUUGGUAUUACUUUUCUAUCUACCUAGGUGCCAUUGUAUCAUGCAGCCUCAUUGUGUGGAUUCAAGAUAAUGCAGGAUGGGGCCUUGGAUUUGGAAUUCCUGCUUUAUUUAUGGGAUUAUCUGUUGGAAGUUUCAUUUUAGGCACCCCUCUCUAUAGGUUUCAGAAACCAAAGGGUAGCCCUAUUACAAGAUUGUGCCAGGUUGUGUUAGCAUCUGUCCGGAAGCAGAAUCUGGUCGUGCCUGAGGAUAGUAGUCUCCUGUAUGAGACGCCUGACCAGAAAUCUGGAGUUGAAAAAAGUCGCAAACUGAAGCAUCAUGAUGAUCUCAGGUUUUUUGAUAGAGCAGCUGUAGUAUCUGAUUCGGAGAAAAGAAGCGGUGACUAUUCUAAUCCAUGGAGGCUUUGCACCGUGACACAGGUGGAGGAAUUGAAAAUCUUGAUUCGCAUGUUUCCAAUUUGGGCUACUGGCAUCAUUUAUUCUUCUGUCUACGCCCAGAUGUCAACAUUGUUUGUGGAGCAAGGAACUAUGAUGAAUACAAGGAUUGGUUCCUUCAAAUUAUCCCCAGCUUCCCUCUCAACCUUUGAGGUGGGAAGUGUUGUUUUGUGGGUCCUCGUCUACGACAGGAUAUUUGUUCCUAUUGCAAAGAAAUUUACAGGCAAGAAAAGAGGCAUUUCUGUGUUUCAAAGAAUAGGAACUGGCCUUUUUAUUUCUGGGCUUUGCAUGUUAGCAGCUGCUGUUGUGGAGAUUAAGCGUCUGCAGCUUGCAAGAGAGCUUGACCUUGUUGAUAAACCUGUCGCUGUACCCCUUAGCGUGUUAUGGCAAAUCCCUCAGUAUUUAAUAUUAGCAGCAGCAGAAAUAUUCCAAUUUGUUGGGCAGCUUGAGUUCUUCUACGAAGAAUCACCAGAUGCUAUGCGAACUUUAUGUGGUGCACUGCCGCUCCUUAAUUUUUCAUUGGGGAGUUACUUGAGCUCUUUCAUUCUCACUAUAGUAACUUACUUCACAACACGAGGGGGAAGGCUUGGAUGGAUUCCAGAUAACUUGAACAAAGGACAUCUUGAUUAUUAUUUUCUGCUUUUAUUUGGACUUAGCUUAUUGAAUCUGUUUGUGUUCAUAGUUUCAGCGAAGAUAUACAAACCAAAGAAGGCUUCUUAAGAUUUUUCAAAAUUUUUGUUGCUCUUAGGACUGGAAGCAUUUUAUGAGAUUUCCUUCUUUCAUUGUAGACUGGAAGCAUUUUGUUCCUCUUAGGACGAAAAUGUGGAAUUCUGGAAAGUCAUGGGGCUCUGUCUGUAUUCAUAUAGACUGCAUUAUAUGGUCCAUAUGAAUAUGAAUACAUAGAAAUUCAGUAGAAGUUGGUUGUGGCUCAAAGCAAGAGUUGGACAUUCAUUUAUCCCUUUCUAUGAGUGGUGAUCAUAUAUUGGUAUGUAUGUCAUUUUAAUUUAAUGGCUAAAUUACCUAUAUAGUCCCUUUAAUUGAUUUGUGUUUUUAGUCCGUACAAAUAAACCAUUUUUGUUUUUUUAUUGUAUUUGUUUUGUUUAAAUCCUUGCAAAAUUUUAUCAUAUUACAAUUGUAAUAAGUAGAAUAUUGCAUUUGGCCAAAAAAAUUCAACAUUUUUACUCGUCGAGCUAGAACUUUUGAAAAAAAAAAACCAAAGUAGGGGGUGCUAAAAUAAAAAAAUUGAUUAUUAAAAGAUUUUUUUAGAGGUUAAAGUGAUUGUUUUUGGUGGCCUUACCCAUUGACAUCUUACCGUAACAAAUAAAAA